UACGAAGGGGGCUAGCGUUGCUCGGAGUCACUGGGCGUAAAGCGCACGUAGGCGGACUCUUAAGUCAGGGGUGAAAUCCUGGAGCUCAACUCCAGAACUGCCUUUGAUACUGGGAGUCUUGAGUUCGGGAGAGGUGAGUGGAACUGCGAGUGUAGAGGUGAAAUUCGUAGAUAUUCGCAAGAACACCAGUGGCGAAGGCGGCUCACUGGCCCGAUACUGACGCUGAGGUGCGAAAGCGUGGGGAGCAAACAGG
rnacentral:rRNA from 1 species